UUUCCGGUUGAUCCUGCCGGAGGCCACUGCUAUCGGGGUUCGAUUAAGCCAUGCGAGUCGAGAGGUGCAAGACCUCGGCAUACUGCUCAGUAACACGUGGACAACCUACCCUGAGGAGGGGGAUAACCCCGGAAAACUGGGGAUAAUACCCCAUAGGCCAGGGAUGCUGGAAUGCCUCCUGGUUGAAAGGUCCGCCGCCUCAGGAUGGGUCUGCGGCCGAUUAGGUUGUUGUUGGGGUAACGGCCCAACAAGCCAUUGAUCGGUACGGGUUGUGGGAGCAAGAGCCCGGAGAUGGAUUCUGAGACACGAAUCCAGGCCCUACGGGGCGCAGCAGGCGCGAAAACUUUACAAUGCGAGAAAUCGUGAUAAGGGAACCCCGAGUGCCCGUAAAUUCGGGCUGUCCAUCAGUGUAAAAAACUGGUGAAGAAAGGGCCGGGCAAGACCGGUGCCAACCGCCGCGGUAAUACCGGCGGCUCGAGUGGUGGCCGCUAUUAUUGGGCUUAAAGCGUCCGUAGCUGGGUUGUUAAGUCUCCUGGGAAAUCCACCGGCUCAACCGGUGGGCGUUCGGGAGAAACUGGCAACCUAGGGACCGGGAGAGGUGAGAGGUACUCCAGGGGUAGGAGUGAAAUCCUGUAAUCCUUGGGGGACCACCUGUGGCGAAGGCGUCUCACUAGAACGGCUCCGACAGUGAGGGACGAAAGCUGGGGGAGCAAACCGGAUUAGAUACCCGGGUAGUCCCAGCUGUAAACGAUGCUCGCUAGGUGUCAGGUGCGGUGCGACCGCAUCUGGUGCCGCAGUGAAAACUUGAAGCGAGUCACCUGGGAAGUACGGUCGCAAGGCUGAAACUUAAAGGAAUUGGCGGGAAGGGCGAAUUCGU
rnacentral:rRNA from 1 species